rnacentral:rRNA from 1 species
GAUGAACGCUAGCGACAGGCCUAAUACAUGCAAGUCGAGCGGCAAGUUGAGAAGCAACUCGAGACCUAGAGCGGCGUACGGGUGCGUAACGCGUAUGCAACCUACCUCAUACAGGGGGAUAGCCCGGAGAAAUCUGGAUUAAUACCCCAUAGUACAUAUAGAGGGCAUCUGAAAUAUGUUAAAGAUUCAUCGGUAUGAGAUGGGCAUGCGUCUGAUUAGCCAGUUGGCGGUGUAACGGACCACCAAGGCGACGAUCAGUAGGGGUUCUGAGAGGAAGGUCCCCCACACUGGCAAUGAGAUACGGGCCAGACUCCUACGGGAGGCAGCAGUAGGGAAUAUUGGGCAAUGGUCGGAAGACUGACCCAGCCAUGCCGCGUGCAGGAAGAAGGCCCUCUGGGUUGUAAACUGCUUUUAUCUGGGAAGAAAAGGCCCGUGCGCGGGACAUUGCCGGUACCAGAUGAAUAAGCACCGGCUAACUCCGUGCCAGCCGCCGCUGUAA